AUUGAACGCUGGCGGAAUGCUUUACACAUGCAAGUCGAACGGCAGCACGAGGGCAACCUUGGUGGCGAGUGGCGAACGGGUGAGUAAUACAUCGGAACGUGCCCAGUCGUGGGGGAUAACGUAGCGAAAGCUACGCUAAUACCGCAUACGAUCUAUGGAUGAAAGCGGGGGACCGUAAGGCCUCGCGCGAUUGGAGCGGCCGAUGGCAGAUUAGGUAGUUGGUGGGGUAAAGGCUCACCAAGCCUGCGAUCUGUAGCUGGUCUGAGAGGACGACCAGCCACACUGGAACUGAGACACGGUCCAGACUCCUACGGGAGGCAGCAGUGGGGAAUUUUGGACAAUGGCGGCAAGCCUGAUCCAGCCA
rnacentral:rRNA from 1 species